UACGUAGGGUGCGAGCGUUAAUCGGAAUUACUGGGCGUAAAGGGCUCGUAGGCGGCCAACUAAGUCGGACGUGAAAUCCCCAGGCUCAACCUGGGAACUGCGUCCGAUACUGGAUGGCUUGAAUCCGGGAGAGGGAUGCAGAAUUCCAGGUGUAGCGGUGAAAUGCGUAGAUAUCUGGAGGAAUACCGGUGGCGAAGGCGGCAUCCUGGACCGGCAUUGACGCUGAGGAACGAAAGCCAGGGGAGCAAACGGG
rnacentral:rRNA from 1 species